rnacentral:lncRNA from 1 species
AGUUUGAGUGUGAUGUGAGAACAUAGGAAGGAAGUGUUGGCAUGGGCAGUGCGCACAGCGCAGCGGGGGUGCAGGACAGGGCAGAGUGGGGUGUGGUUGCACAGCAGGAGGAUUCUGUUACAUGUGUCCUCCACCUUCUCAUCUCUACAGUCUCACCUUAAAAUCCAUCUUCAAGAUGAAGCAGCUCAUGUUCUUCAGGAGGUGACACUUGCAGAGACUGUGUUUCGUUGCGUGAAACAUGGCUCAGAGGAGGUAGCUAGGCCUCAGGCCUAUGUCAAAUAUGCAAGGAAACGAAACUCUGUGAUCUCAGAACUGAAGCACCAAAACUAUGAACUACUGAAACAUUUAUUCACCUACAGAAUGACUCAGACUUUGGAAAACCUGGUGGUCCUCAUGUUCAAUCUUUGCAAGAGAUGUUUCUGUACCUGUCAUCCUAACUAU